CUUGGGUGGCGAGUGGCGGACGGGUGAGGAAUACGUCGGAAUCUGCCUAUUUGUGGGGGAUAACGUAGGGAAACUUACGCUAAUACCGCAUACGACCUACGGGUGAAAGCGGAGGACCUUCGGGCUUCGCGCAGAUAGAUGAGCCGACGUCGGAUUAGCUAGUUGGCGGGGUAAAGGCCCACCAAGGCGACGAUCCGUAGCUGGUCUGAGAGGAUGAUCAGCCACACUGGAACUGAGACACGGUCCAGACUCCUACGGGAGGCAGCAGUGGGGAAUAUUGGACAAUGGGCGCAAGCCUGAUCCAGCCAUGCCGCGUGUGUGAAGAAGGCCUUCGGGUUGUAAAGCACUUUUGUCCGGAAAGAAAAGCAUUGGGUUAAUACCCCGAUGUCAUGACGGUACCGGAAGAAUAAGCACCGGCUAACUUCGUGCCAGCAGCCGCGGUAAUACGAAGGGUGCAAGCGUUACUCGGAAUUACUGGGCGUAAAGCGUGCGUAGGUGGUUUGUUAAGUCUGAUGUGAAAGCCCUGGGCUCAACCUGGGAAUGGCAUUGGAAACUGGCUGACUAGAGUGCGGUAGAGGGUAGUGGAAUUCCCGGUGUAGCAGUGAAAUGCGUAGAUAUCGGGAGGAACAUCUGUGGCGAAGGCGACUAC
rnacentral:rRNA from 1 species